rnacentral:rRNA from 1 species
UACAGAGGGGGCGAGCGUUGUUCGGAAUUACUGGGCGUAAAGGGCGCGUAGGCGGCCAACUAAGUCAGACGUGGAAUCCCUCGGCUCAACCGGGGAACUGCGUCUGAUACUGGAUGGCUUGAAUUCGGGAGAGGGUGGUGGAAUUCCGAGUGUAGAGGUGAAAUUCGUAGAUAUUCGGAGGAACACCGGUGGCGAAGGCGGCCACCUGGUCCGGUACUGACGCUCAAGCGCGAAAGCGUGGGGAGCAAACAGGG